GUCUUCUUCUCGUAAUAUCUAACUUCCCAUUCUAAAAAUUGAUUGAUUUUUUUUCGAAAUUUGCCCUUUGAGAUCGAUAAUCAAUGGAAGUUUCUAUGAUCUCCGAUACGCUAACGGCUGUGGUAACCACUCAAGGCUUAGGUGUUUCAAAGUUUCUGCUGAAUCGCAAUCUCAAUUUCUCAUCAAACAACGUUUUCUCACUCUCCGAUUCCUCAUCGGAGCAGCAAUCACCUUCCACCGCCGGAGUUCGUCAAAUUUCCGCUGUGAUUUGUCCGAUCGAUGCCUUAGCGCCGCCUCCUGUAAAGUACAAUAAGGUCAAAGCCGCACCUCGAAGACUGGCUCGUAAGACGAGGCGGAUUAUACGGAAGUCGUUGAUCGGUGGAGCUGAUGAAGGUGAUGAAAACGGAUUUUUAUUUGAUGGAGGUAAUUAUGACGGGCCGUUUGGUGGUGGUAGUAGCUGGGGCGGAGGUGGUGGUGGUGGUAGAGGAUGGAAUUUUGAUGGAUUUGGAGGGGCAAAUUGGGAAGAAUCUUCGUCGAACUCGUUUUCUGAUCCGGCUUUUGAUUUUGUCUAUGAGUUGAUGUGUUGGGCUGCGUUGUCGAAUUGCUUGCAUUAUGCGUUUAAGAAAGUGGUGAGAAUUGUGGCUGGUGGAUUCAGUGAUACAGCUAGAGAGAAGGUUGUUCCAGUUAGACUCACAUCUGUCUACUGAAUCAGUAAGCUCAAUUUACUGAGUAAAUUCUGUUGACGUUGCAAUGUCAUUCCAAAAUUAAUAUGUAAAUAGUAGUGUAUAUAUUUUAUCAAACUCUGA
rnacentral:misc_RNA from 1 species